GACGAACGCUGGCGGCAUGCCUAAUACAUGCAAGUAGAACGCUGAAGAGAGGAGCUUGCUCUUCUUGGAUGAGUUGCGAACGGGUGAGUAACGCGUAGGUAACCUGCCUUGUAGCGGGGGAUAACUAUUGGAAACGAUAGCUAAUACCGCAUAACAAUGGAUGACACAUGUCAUUUAUUUGAAAGGGGCAAUUGCUCCACUACAAGAUGGACCUGCGUUGUAUUAGCUAGUAGGUGAGGUAAUGGCUCACCUAGGCGACGAUACAUAGCCGACCUGAGAGGGUGAUCGGCCACACUGGGACUGAGACACGGCCCAGACUCCUACGGGAGGCAGCAGUAGGGAAUCUUCGGCAAUGGGGGCAACCCUGACCGAGCAACGCCGCGUGAGUGAAGAAGGUUUUCGGAUCGUAAAGCUCUGUUGUAAGUCAAGAACGGGUGUGAGAGUGGAAAGUUCACACUGUGACGGUAGCUUACCAGAAAGGGACGGCUAACUACGUGCCAGCAGCCGCGGUAAUACGUAGGUCCCGAGCGUUGUCCGGAUUUAUUGGGCGUAAAGCGAGCGCAGGCGGUUUGAUAAGUCUGAAGUUAAAGGCUGUGGCUCAACCAUAGUUCGCUUUGGAAACUGUCAAACUUGAGUGCAGAAGGGGAGAGUGGAAUUCCAUGUGUAGCGGUGAAAUGCGUAGAUAUAUGGAGGAACACCGGUGGCGAAAGCGGCUCUCUGGUCUGUAACUGACGCUGAGGCUCGAAAGCGUGGGGAGCGAACAGGAUUAGAUACCCUGGUAGUCCACGCCGUAAACGAUGAGUGCUAGGUGUUGGAUCCUUUCCGGGAUUCAGUGCCGCAGCUAACGCAUUAAGCACUCCGCCUGGGGAGUACGACCGCAAGGUUGAAACUCAAAGGAAUUGACGGGGGCCCGCACAAGCGGUGGAGCAUGUGGUUUAAUUCGAAGCAACGCGAAGAACCUUACCAGGUCUUGACAUCCCGAUGCUAUUUCUAGAGAUAGAAAGUUACUUCGGUACAUCGGUGACAGGUGGUGCAUGGUUGUCGUCAGCUCGUGUCGUGAGAUGUUGGGUUAAGUCCCGCAACGAGCGCAACCCCUAUUGUUAGUUGCCAUCAUUCAGUUGGGCACUCUAGCGAGACUGCCGGUAAUAAACCGGAGGAAGGUGGGGAUGACGUCAAAUCAUCAUGCCCCUUAUGACCUGGGCUACACACGUGCUACAAUGGUUGGUACAACGAGUUGCGAGUCGGUGACGGCGAGCUAAUCUCUUAAAGCUAAUCUCAGUUCGGAUUGUAGGCUGCAACUCGCCUACAUGAAGUCGGAAUCGCUAGUAAUCGCGGAUCAGCACGCCGCGGUGAAUACGUUCCCGGGCCU
rnacentral:rRNA from 1 species